rnacentral:snRNA from 1 species
GAAUGCAGCCCCAAUCGGGCGG